rnacentral:rRNA from 1 species
UACGCUCAAAAUGAACUUUUUGAGGAAAGAUGGCCUCUGCUUGCAUGCUAUCGCGUAAGGAUGAGUCCGCGUCCCAUUAGCUUGUUGGCGGGGUAACGGCCCACCAAGGCAACGAUGGGUAGCCGAUUUGAGAGGAUGAUCGGCCACACUGGAACUGAAACACGGUCCAGACUCCUACGGGAGGCAGCAAUGGGGAAUAUUGCGCAAUGGGCGAAAGCCUGACGCAGCGACGCCGCGUGAGGGAUGAAGGUUUUCGGAUCGUAAACCUCUGUCAGAAGGGAAGAAACUACGUUGUGCUAAUCAGC